rnacentral:rRNA from 1 species
UCUGAAUCUGCGAACGGCUCCGCAUACCAGUUGUAAACCAUAGCGAGCAAACCGUGGCGGUGUCGCAAGGCGUCGUCGCGGUUAAUAAGGAUAACCCUGGUAAUUCUGAGGCUAAUACAAGAACGUACAACCCACCCGACCCGUAAGGGAAGGGGGGGGAAUGUGUGACCAGGCACGCAAAUUCGAAACUGGGAGUGGCCACACGUUCAGACCGUCAUAUCAAACAGUCGUCUGCUUCGAAAGUCCUUGUGACGAGUAACGGCGGGCUUCUGGGCGGCUCUCGCUGUGUGCUUCUGACCUAUCAACUAGAUGGCAGCGUAACGGACAUGCUAUGGU